AAUAUUGGACGACUGCGGGCACCCUGAUCAGCCAUGCCGCGUGAGUGAUGAAGGCCCUAGGGUUGUAAAGCUCUUUUGUGCGGGAAGAUAAUGACGGUACCGCAAGAAUAAGCCCCGGCUAACUUCGUGCCAGCAGCCGCGGUAAUAAAUAA
rnacentral:rRNA from 1 species